rnacentral:miRNA from 1 species
CUGUCGAGCACCAUUGGGGA